rnacentral:rRNA from 1 species
UACGUAGGGGUCGAGCGUUGUCCGGACUUACUGGGCGUAAAGCGUGGGUAGGUGGCCACUGAUGUGCCGUGUGAAAGCGCCCGCGCUUCUCGCGGCGAGGUCGCGGUAGACACAGUGGCUCGAGGCACGGAGAGGGGCGUAGAAUUCCCGGUGUAGUGGUGAAAUGCGUAGAUAUCGGGAGGAAUACCAGUGGCGCAAGCGGCGCCCUGGCCGUGACCUGACACUGAGCCACGACGGCGUGGGGAGCAAACGGG